GGCGUAUAUAACCCUCUACGCAUGUAGUCUAACGCGAGCCCUCUACCUAGAGUUAACCACGAGCAUGGAAACCGAUGAAUUUAUCCCUACCCUCAAGCGACUCAUCGCGAGGAAAGGCAGACCGGAAAAGAUUUAUUCCGACAACGCAAAGACCUUCGUUGCGGCAGCCAAGUGGUUGAAGAAGGCACAACAAGAUGAAAAAUUCAAUCAUUUCCUGGCCAACGAAAAAAUAAAAUGGCAGUUCAAUCUAAGUCGGGCCCCCUGGUGGGGGGGCCAAUUCGAACGUAUGGUCGGCUUGGUCAAGUCCGCGUUGUACAAGUCUAUUGGGAAUGGCUUCUUAGCCAAGAAAGAACUCGAAGAUGUCCUUCUAGACAUUGAAACAACAUUGAACAACAGACCUCUAGGGUACCAAGAAGAUGAUAUCCAAAUGCCAACAUUGACACCGAACAGUUUGCAGUUUGUUGGAUCGACCCACCUUCCGGAACCCGAACAUUACCACGAAGCCGAUCCUGACCUACGUAAACGCGAAAUACCUAAAGAAAUGUAAAGAUCACAUGUGGAACAGGUGGACGAAAGAGUACCUACGAGCCUUACGAGAACGACAUAAUUUAAAACAUGAUACGAAGCCAUUCAGCCUAGCUGUGGGUGAUGUCGUCAUAAUUUAUUCUGAAGAGCGCAAUAGAGGAAAGUGGCCGCUCGGAAUGGUUCAGGAACUUUACCCAGGAAGAGACGGGGUCAUUCGAGCAGCGAAAAUAAAGACGGGAAACGGUCAUUUAGAGAGAGCAGUCAAUCUACUCUACCCACUUGAACUGUCGUGUGACAUAAGACCAUCAACCGGUAGUGAAAACCUGAAUCCAGAAGCUGCAGUAUUUCGACCAACCCGCGAGGCAGCUGUCACCGCAAGGUUACGCACCCAAGAGCAAACGAACUAUGAUGAAAUUUGAACAAGAAAUUGAACAGAGUAUAUCCUUUGAGACGUUAAAGUUUAUAUCUAAUAUAUAACAUUUAGUAGACCUUACAUUAGUAACAAUGAGAUUAAUUAAGUUUCCUUUCAGUACAUAUACCUUCAAGAAGCUAUAUGGGGGGAGAGUGUCGGAAACUAUAUUUAGCUCUUUUGUCAUCAUGCGAGUAUACUCGCGGACAGUCGGACAGCUCCGGAAUAUACCGUUGAGAAUGUUUACAUAGCGAGGAAUUCGGGAAAGAACACAGCGAAGCAUGAGA
rnacentral:lncRNA from 1 species